GACGAGCUCUCCGAACGUUAUUCGGUAUCACUGGGCUUAAAGAGUUCGUAGGCGGCCUAACAGGCGAGGUGUGAAGGCCCUCGGCUCAACCGGGGAACUGCGCUUCAAACCGUUAGGCUGGAGGGAGAUAGAGGUGAGCGGAACAGAUGGUGGAGCGGUGAAAUGCGUUGAUAUCAUCUGGAACACCGGUGGCGAAAGCGGCUCACUGAUCUUUUCUGACGCUGAGGAACGAAAGCUAGGGUAGCGAACGGG
rnacentral:rRNA from 1 species